UACGGAGGGUGCAAGCGUUAUCCGGAUUCACUGGGUUUAAAGGGUGCGUAGGUGGGUCUGUAAGUCCGUGGUGAAAUCUCUAGGCUUAACCUGGAAACUGCCAUGGAUACUGGAAAGCUCGAGUCCGGGAGAGGUGAGUGGAACUGCGAGUGUAGAGGUGAAAUUCGUAGAUAUUCGCAAGAACACCAGUGGCGAAGGCGGCUGCCUGGGCCUGGCCUGACGCUGAGGCGCGAAAGCGUGGGGAGCGAUCCGG
rnacentral:rRNA from 1 species